rnacentral:rRNA from 1 species
CACUAAAUGAAACUAGAUACAAGCGAGCGGCGGACGGGUGAGUAACACGUGGGUAACCUGCCCAAGAGACUGGGAUAACACCUGGAAACAGAUGCUAAUACCGGAUAAACAACACUUAGACGCAUGUCUAGAGUUUGAAAGAUGGUUCUGCUAUCACUCUUGGAUGGACCUGCGGUGCAUUAGCUAGUUGGUAAGGUAACGGCUUUACCAAGGCAAUGAUGCAUAGCCGAGUUGAGAGACUGAUCGGCCACAUUGGGACUGAGACACGGCCCAAACUCCUACGGGAGGCAGCAGUAGGGAAUCUUCCACAAUGGACGAAAGCCUGAUGGAGCAACGCCGCGUGAGUGAAGAAGGGUUUCGGCUCGUAAAGCUCUGUUGGUAGUGAAGAAAGAUAGAGGUAGUAACUGGCCUUUAUUUGACGGUAAUUACUUAGAAAGUCACGGCUAACUACGUGC